AGACAGACCAGCCUAGACUGCCCUGGUUGAGCCUUCUGUCUUGAGGAGGAACCGGGAUUUCUGUAGGAAGACAGUGGAGCACGAGGAGAAUAGAGGCCAAAGGUUCUGCCCACAAGAAAGCAUAAGGGAGAAGACUGAAGCCUUCUCACAGGGUAGGAAACGUUUCUAGAGCAAAGAAUAUCAGUGCAAGCUGAGGCCCAGGCAGAGCAUGCACAGAAGGGCAAAGGAAAGGGUCUGGACUAUAGGACAAACAGGCAGAUUGUGCUGUUUGCUAGCUUGAACCCCUGGAGCACUGAGCAGCAAGGUCUUCCUUCAGCCACUUUCCCCGGGGCCUCAGUGCUUGGGGAAAACAACCAAUCUCGGGGUUUGUGCAUUUCACGCUCUGCUUUUUCUAGGUCUUUUCCAGCUACCAACAAACCUGUAGGCCUCAGAUGGUCCUAAUGCACUGAUGCGGUGGAGUAAGAACGAAGCAGAUAAGACAAGUCCAAACAAGUCCAGAUGGCGGCACAUGCGGGAGGACAUAUGUCCUUAAAGUUGGACUAAGACUUGGAGAUCAACUCAAGAGCAUCGUUCUAGUGACCAUUGUUAGGACUCCAAUGUCCUCCCCACAGCAGGUGGGACCUACCUGAGACAGACAGAAAAGACCUCAAAAGCCGAGGCUGAGAACAACCGAAUGCACUGAAUAAAGACCCUCUCUGUGGACUAGG
rnacentral:lncRNA from 1 species